rnacentral:rRNA from 1 species
AUGGCGCUGGUGUCCUGCUCAUCCAGAGAAAGAGAGAGAUAUGGCGUGAGGGAGAGAGGAAAGAGAGGAAGAAAUGAGAAGGAGAAGGGGCGCAGGGUGAGGGAGAAACUGAAGAUGAUGAUCCCAUGGACACAGAAGAAGCUUCCUCUGUCCACAUCGCUGCACUGCAGUCUUUCAGCCAAGCUCUGGUGA